rnacentral:hammerhead_ribozyme from 1 species
ACUUAGCUGACGAGUUCAAAAUAGGACGAAGCACGCGCCCUGGAU